rnacentral:rRNA from 1 species
GCAAGAUUAAAACUCAAAGGAAUAGACGGGGACCCGCACAAGUGGUGGAGCAUGUGGUUUAAUUCGAAGAUACGCGAAGAACCUUACCUAGCCUUGACAUUGAUAGAAUCUUCCAGAGAUGGAGGAGUGCCUUUCGGGGAACUUGAAAACAGGUGCUGCACGGCUGUCGUCAGCUCGUGUCGUGAGAUGUUGGGUUAAGUCCCGCAACGAGCGCAACCCUCGUCAUUAGUUACUAACAGUUCGGCUGAGGACUCUAAUGAGACUGCCUUCGUAAGGAGGAGGAAGGUGAGGACGACGUCAAGUCAUCAUGGCCCUUACGGCUAGGGCGACACACGUGCUACAAUGGUUAGGACAAUGAGAAGCGAUACCGCGAGGUGGAGCAAAUCUAUAAACCUAAUCUCAGUUCGGAUUGUAGUCUGCAACUCGACUACAUGAAGCUGGAAUCACUAGUAAUCGUAGAUCAGCCAUGCUACGGUGAAUACGUUCCCGGGUCUUGUACUCACCGCCCGUCACACCAUGGGAGUUGAUUUCACCCGAAGCGGGGAAGCUAAACUGGCUACCCUCCACGGUGGAAUUAGCGACUGGGGUGAAGUCGUAACAAGGUA